UACGAAGGGGGCUAGCGUUGCUCGGAAUUACUGGGCGUAAAGGGCGCGUAGGCGGAUAUUUAAGUUAGAGGUGAAAGCCCAGGGCUCAACCCUGGAAUAGCCUUUAAUACUGGAUAUCUUGAGUUCGGGAGAGGUGAGUGGAACUCCGAGUGUAGAGGUGAAAUUCGUAGAUAUUCGGAAGAACACCAGUGGCGAAGGCGGCACACUGGACCACAACUGACGCUGAGGCGCGAAAGCCAGGGGAGCCAAAGCGGG
rnacentral:rRNA from 1 species